UUCUAGAGCUAAUACAUGCUAAAAACCUCGACUUCGGAAGGGGUGUAUUUAUUAGAUAAAAGACCAAUGCCCUUCGGGGCUCCUUGGUGAUUCAUAAUAACUUAACGAAUCGCAUGGCCUUGCGCCGGCGAUGGUUCAUUCAAAUUUCUGCCCUAUCAACUUUCGAUGGUAGGGUAGUGGCCUACCAUGGUUGCAACGGGUAACGGACGAUUAGGGUUGGACUCCGGAGAGGGAGCCUGAGAAACGGCUACCACAUCCAAGGAAGGCAGCAGGCGCGCAAAUUACCCAAUCCCGACGCGGGGAGGUAGUGACAAUAAAUACUGAUACAGGGCUCUUUUGGGUCUUGUAAUUGGAAUGAGUACAAUUUAAAUCUCUUAACGAGGAACAAUUGGAGGGCAAGUCUGGUGCCAGCAGCCGCGGUAAUUCCAGCUCCAAUAGCGUAUAUUAAAGUUGUUGCAGUUAAAAAGCUCGUAGUUGAACCUUGGGUCUGGCUGGCCGGUCCGCCUCACCGCGUGCACUGGUCCGGCCGGACCUUUCCUUCUGGGGAGCCUCAUGCCCUUCACUGGGUGUGCUGGUCAACCAGGACUUUUACUGUGAAAAAAUUAGAGUGUUCAAAGCAGGCCUAUGCUCGAAUACAUUAGCAUGGAAUAAUAGAAUAGGACGUGUGGUUCUAUUUUGUUGGUUAUAGGACCGCCGUAAUGAUUAAUAGGGAUAGUCGGGGGCAUCAGUAUUCAAUUGUCAGAGGUGAAAUUCUUGGAUUUAUUGAAGACUAACUACUGCGAAAGCAUUUGCCAAGGAUGUUUUCAUUAAUCAGGAACGAAAGUUAGGGGAUCGAAGACGAUCAGAUACCGUCGUAGUCUUAACCAUAAACUAUGCCGACUAGGGAUCGGGCGAUGUUAUUAUUUGACUCGCUCGGCACCUUACGAGAAA
rnacentral:rRNA from 1 species